rnacentral:snRNA from 1 species
AUAUCCACGCACUGCAUAAGCCAGUGCGUUGUACUCUGUUGUGCUCAAUGACACGCUUAUUAACAAAUACUACCAAAACUUCUAUAAUGAGCAUCUAAUUAGUACUAAAUGCGUAUUAUUUUUUCUAUAUUAAUAUAUAUACACCUACACCAAGCAGCAUAGAAGUAUAAUUUGCAUGAGUUAGUUUAAAAAUAUGAUAUAGUGAAGUAGAUUACUACCUACGGUCGCUGGUAAAUAUUGCUAAAAAAAUUUGUAUACAUUCUAAUUUCGAACCCUUUCACACAUCUUUGCGCAGAGGCAGUAUCGUAGCCAAUGAGGUUUAUCCGAGGCGCGAUUAUUGC